AAGUGGGAUGAACGGUUGUGGGUUCAGCUCCUGCUUAUGACACUGGGUUUUUUUUAAUCUCAACCAAGACCUUAGAUAAAAAAGUAUAAUUAAUUAAAAUAAUUAAUACAGCCAAUUAUGACUACUUACAAAUAUGGAUUAUAAAUAUUGCUGAAUUAUGAAAAGUUCAUCGGCAAAUUCUUGUAGAAUAAUUCAUAAUAAUGGUACUUAGCAAGAAAUAAAUUGUUCCAAUAGUAUUUACUAUUAAAUAUGAAGUAAUUUGAUCUGAUUGUAAUGGAAGGAUCUGAUUGUUUACAAUUUAUAAACUUGGAAAUAGUUAAUUCGAUUGUACAUUAUGAUUUUUCAGUUACGCAGCGAGAACGAGAACAAAAGAAAACGAUUCGUAAUUAAAAUAUGCACUUAAAUAUUCAAAUGUUUUCAGGUGCCUUGAAAUAUAAAUGCAGCUGUGGUCGAUGCUUUUCGCACAAGAAAAAUCUCACGUAUCAUCAGAAUCACGAGUGCGGCAAGUCUUACUUCUGCGAGCUAUGCGGCAAACAGUACAAAUCAAAAAGAAAUUAUAAUCUACACUUGUAUUUUACACACAAGGUCUAAUUGGAAAAAAAGGAAGGAUUUUGAAAAUAAAAUUAGUAGUUGAAUCAUUAUCCCAUUAAUUUUUGUAGCCUAUGUUUCUUGUUUUUUUUUUUAAGAUGAUCUCUGCUGUUUACAUUUCACAUUGAAAAUGUCCGACUGGCAAUUUUUCUUUUACCAUUCUCCAUUUAAUAAUUUUCUGUUUAGGUGAGAAAUCGUUCUACUGGUGCACUUGCGGACGGAAGUAUGGUUACAUUCACUCACUGAACCAUCACAAGAAGUACGAGUGUGGCAUCAAGUUCCAUUGCAAGAUUUGCAACAAGGACUACUGCUCAAAACAGUCUCUCCGUGUCCACCAGAGCUCCGUGCACAAAUUGGGAAAAGACCAAUAAACUUUUUUUUUAAGUGCAAAUUUCGCCAAGGAAACGCUGACAGUACAAAUCUAAGAAAUGUGUGACGUAUGCUACAAAGACCUUCUGGUGAAAGAUAGCAAGAAAUUAGCUUCAGACACAACAAACUCUAAUAUUUUUUGUUGCAAAUGUUGUAAAAUUUGUUCUCUAGGCUAAUAAAAAUUCCCAUUUUAACAAUUUAUCCUUUUAUUUUAUGGUUUAAAGACAUCUUAUGGAGUAGAAUAAUUAUUGUUCUAUAUUUUCAACUCUCCAAUUAAACACAUGGUUGUUUUUGAAUCAAAAAAAUAUAAAGCCUGUAAGGUUUCAAUGCCUUCAUUUGAUUUUUUUUUUAAAAUAUUUAUAUGCGAUGUGUCCUUGGGUCUCGGGGAAGGCAGAUAUUAAUCGUGAACAACUACAGGUUCUCAUUGUCACACAAAUUAUCCAAUGGGACAAACCAUUGGAGGUGUCACGGUCGCGCUUCACGAUGCAAAGCAGCAAUAUUUGCCACCGAUAAUCUACAAGUGGUAAAAGCGAGGCUUGACCACAAUCACCCAGAAAUCGGUUUUUAUGAGAGAGCUUAUAAAAACGAAAUUCUUUUUAAAAAGGAAUUCAUGUGAAAAAUGUACGAUUAUACCAUAAAUGAACUCAGCUUAACCAAAACCCGAACCAAAACGAUUUUGGUAAAAAAAAAUGGUGUGUGAGAAUUGUGUGUUAUUGCCAAAUAUAGCCGCUAAUUAUGGUGUUGAGAGAUCAACAAUGUGGUAAAACCUAAAUCUAAACUUAAUGAAUACAGUUGUAAAGUCUGAAUCGCGAAAUGAUGAAGCUAGCUAAUCAUGAAAAAAAUUAAUGAAGCACCUUUUCUCUGUUUUACGUUUCAGUGGUGUAGUAUGCAUAUUUGUAUGUAAAAUACAUAGAUUGUUUGGUUUAUGACGGACUAUGUCGUGUUACUUACAAACCGAACAAAAUUAAGACCUAAUUCUUGUGGAUCUUUCCCCGUCCGAAGAAUAGUGGCAAAUAAAUUAAAAAUAAAAAGAUUUGAUUACAAUUAUAUAUAAAAAAAGGACUUUAAUUAAAAUAUAAAAAAGAACAACAACAAAAGAAUAGCAGCUCUUCUGUGCUUCAGAACAUUAUUUUUAAAUAAGAAAGAAAUAGCCAAACACAUUCAUUAAUUUAAAAAAAAAGACCCAAUGGCAUUGAAAAAAAAGUAUGAUGCGAAGAUGACAAAACCUGGAGGUUGGGAAAGCGAUGAAUCGAAGUCAAUGGCUCAAUUGUGGAGAAGGUGAAGACUCGGCGAGUUCAUGGAGUUGAACGAUAGCAGUAAAUGAAAAGGAUGGUUCUAAUCACAAACUGGUUUUGCAGUGAUCCAGAUUUCUAACUGUAAUUGCUCUUCAUCAGAGUUGAACCAUCAUUUUCAUUUAUUGAACUGAAAUACAAAUAUGGGGUCUUCAAGGGGAUGCUGGAGGCCCUCCUCGAGAAGUUUAACCUCCAUACUCAGGACUUAGUGACGGGUGUCACAAUGUAUGGCUCUAACCCAGAUUAUGAUUCUGGCUCUGAAACUCAUCUCACUCGGCCAGGAGUGGCAUCGGUUGAAUGGCGAGACUUUGGAGGACCCCGAGUUCUUUUUGACAAGGCAUUGAUGGAUCCUUGUUCCUUGCUGACACGGAUGUGUCUUAAGACCUCGCCUUGUGAGCCUUGGAUGGAUAUGAAGCUGUGGACAAGGGCGUAGAUCUCAGGUCUAGCUGGUUAGGCCUCAGGUGCGAUGUGAUAUUAUAUUAAUACUUCACUUUUCAGUUUCGUCCCAUUGCAAAAUGUAAUAUCAAAUUUAAAAUUUAGAAUGCCGAAUUUUCUUAAGAAUCGCAUAUUAUUUAUUUACUUUGAAAAAUUGUAUAUUUUUGGCUGAACCUGCUUGGAAUACUUUUUUGUACAUCCUGUGUUGAAAUGCUGUGGAUUGUCAUUACUCAUAUAUUGAACAUAUUUUUAGAGAAAUGAAGGAUAAUUUGUCGACAUCAACAGCAUUUUUUCACAAUAGUUAAACGAUAUAUCACAGUAGCGGAUCGACAGUACAUUCACGCCAUUUUGUUUGUUUUUCUUCCUUUUUUCAUGUCUUCUCUGAUCGAAUUUGUUUUUGGUUUUAUUUCAGCAGAGUUCAAGUUAAAAUGUGACUGCGGGCGCAAUUUCAACUACAACAAGCACUUCCAGUACCAUAAAAGAACCGACUGCGGGAAAACGUUUGUUUGUCUCGUUUGUAUGAAAAGUUACAAGAGCAAAGCCAGUCUGACGUUCCAUAGAAAAAAUUUACCUGCAGAGAGUGCAGAAAGUCAUACAAGACCAGAGGACGGCUCAAAUACCAUCAAAAAUGGGAAUGCGGGCACCAGUACGAAUGUUCCGUCUGUCAGAAAAAGUUGACAAGAAUCGACUCACUGAAAAUUCAUAUGCACAUGAUUCAUAACUGGCCCGAUUUUGAAAAUUCCCAGGACAAACCUUAACAAUUUGUAGCCGACUAUUUUCAGUUUAUAAUAAAUUGAUGAUUAUUAUUAUAAUCAGAUCAGAGAUUAUUCUAUUAUUUUGUUUUCACAAGUUUUCAUUCAAAGACAGGUUUCUCGGACCAAUUAUUAGGGAAGGUGGGAACAAAUUCUUCAUUAUGAUUAUAUGUUGGUUAAAAGAAAAAUUAAAUCCAAACAAAAAAUUAAUAAGUAUAAUGUUUAAUCUAGUAGAUAUUAAGUGCCAUAAUAUUAUUAAUUUUAUAAAUUCUACAACUCAAUUUACAAGAGGUGCUGUCUUAAAAUGAAUUGUUUUUGUUUUGU